rnacentral:misc_RNA from 1 species
CAACCCCUCAAGCCUUAGCUUGGUGUUGGGCCGUGCCACCGCCCUCGCGGCGCCGGCAGGCCUUAAAAUCAGUGGCGGUGCCCGCUGUGGUUCCAAGCGUAGUAAUCUCUCUCGCUCUGGAGACCUGGCGGCGGCUUGCCAGACAACCCCAUCUUCUCAAAA